rnacentral:rRNA from 1 species
AACGAACGCUGGCGGCAUGCCUAACACAUGCAAGUCGAACGAGCCCUUCGGGACUAGUGGCGUACGGGUGUGUAACGCGUGGGAACCUGCCCUUAGGUUCGGAAUAACUAUCCGAAAGGGGUGCUAAUACCGAAUAAUGUCUUCGGACCAAAGAUUUAUCGCCUUUGGAUGGGCCCGCGUUGGAUUAGCUAGUUGGUAGGGUAAUAGCUUACCAAGGCGACGAUCAAUAGCUUGUCUGAGAGGAUGAUCAGCCACACUGGGACUGAGACACGGCCCAGACUCCUACGGGAGGCAGCAGUGGGGAAUAUUGCACAAUGGGCGAAAGCCUGAUGCAGCAAUGCCGCGUGAGUGAUGAAGGUCUUAGGGUUGUAAAGCUCUUUUACCCGGGAUGAUAAUGACGGUACCGGGAGAGUAAGCCCCGGCUAACUCCGUG